UCAGAUGUCCCCAAGGGCCACACUGAGGGACACAGAGCAGCUCAGAUGUCCCCAGAGGUGGCUCCUGUGAUGGGUGGGGACGUCUCUCCCGGCUGGAGGUGACACAGGUGACACAAGCCAAGGCCAUGGUGGUGUCACCUGUCACUCCAGGCUCUUGGCCCCUGUGGUGAUGUCCCUUGAUGGUGACACCAUCUCAACGCUCCUGUCCUGCAGGAGCCAGCAGGGUGUGACCGUGUCCCUGUCACACACAGUGACACA